rnacentral:rRNA from 1 species
CCUACGGGGAGCAGCAGUGGGGAAUAUUGGACAAUGGGCGAAAGCCUGAUCCAGCCAUGCCGCGUGUGUGAAGAAGGCCUUCGGGUUGUAAAGCACUUUCAGUGGGGAAGAAAGCCUUGGGGCUAAUACCCUCGAGGAAGGACAUCACCCACAGAAGAAGCACCGGCUAACUCCGUGCCAGCAGCCGCGGUAAUACGGAGGGUGCGAGCGUUUAAUCGGAAUUACUGGGCGGAAAGCGCGCGUAGGCGGUCUGAUAAGCCGGUUGUGAAAGCCCCGGGCUCAACCUGGGAACGGCAUCCGGAACUGUCAGGCUAGAGUGCAGGAGAGGAAGGUAGAAUUCCCGGUGUAGCGGUGAAAUGCGUAGAGAUCGGGAGGAAUACCAGUGGCGAAGGCGGCCUUCUGGACUGACACUGACGCUGAGGUGCGAAAGCGUGGGUAGCAAACAGGAUUAGAUACCCCGGUAGUC